rnacentral:siRNA from 1 species
ACAAAUUUACAUGUCACGGCUGA